rnacentral:misc_RNA from 1 species
GAUGAAGAACGUAGCGAAAUGCGAUAAGUAAUGUGAAUUGCAGAAUUCCGUGAAUCAUCGAAUCUUUGAACGCACAUUGCGCCCCCUGGUAUUCCGGGGGGCAUGCCUGUCCGAGCGUCAUUUCUGCCCUCCAGCCCGGCUGGGUGUUGGGCGCUGUCCCCCCGGGGACACGCCCCAAAGGCAGUGGCGGCGCCGCGUCGGGUCCUCGAGCGUAUGGGGCUUUGUCACCCGCUCGGGACGGACUCGUCGGCGCUGGUCUUCCUCCAGGCGACCCUUCGGGGCUCGUCUUCCUUCGGUUGACCUCGGAUCAGGUAGGGUUACCCGCUGAACUUAAGCAUAUCAAUAAGCGGAGGA